GAAGCCAGGCCAAGAAGAAUCCCAGGACUGGAAGGCCUUGUGGGACGUCCCAGGUUUGUCUUGUGUCAAUAGCACUGAUACUCAAUCUCCUACUCCCAUCUGUGAGCAUGCAGACCCUACUUGCCUUCCCACAGCCUCCCUUUUCAUAUUUUUCAUGUUUCUUUAGCUCUGUCUUCAAGCCUUGUUGCUCCCGCAAAAAAACCUGCCUCUUCCUCCAGUCCUCCCAAGCAGGGGGAACAGUCCUGACACCUUUCCAAGCCCUGGUCCAUGGACAUUGUGCCCCCUUCUCCCUGCCCAUGGUGACCUGCUCCAAAACCCUCAAGGAGAAGGGAGUGUAUGUCAUUUCCUCCCUGUAAAGUAAAGAUAAUUUUGCAGGGGACUGUGUGGAUGAAAUGACAUGAUGCAUGGAAAUCCCUUAGCGUGUGCCUGGCAUGUAAACUGCAGGUGUCAUCAUUAUUACUGAGGAAUACUGAGUCCCGAACAUGGCUGUCUCAUUGGUGGACUGGGGUCUCCCCCAGGGCAUUCAUCUACUAUGUGUUUAUUGCACCCUUUUUCCAUGUGAGGCACAUGCCAGGGACUGGGCACAUGGUAUGAACAAGACACAGGUCAUCGGUGUCCUCUUGAGCUCCCUGGCUUGGCAGCAGAUGCAUACCUGGGAAGGAUGCUAGGUCAUCCGGGAACUCUACCUCCUUCAAAUCCCUAAGGACUGUGCUCCCAAUCCGCUUACGCUCAAGGAAGAACUGCCUGGAAGCCCUCCCUGGUACCAUACCCCAGCCGAUGAGUAUGUACCCCCAGAAGUACUUCCGCUCAGAGAAGAAGGAGACGGCAAGCAGGGUGUACAGGAAGGCCCAGAACCAGCCUGCUGUCAGGAUCAGAACAAAAGAGGAGGACUGCAUAUGUAUGGACCCACUCCAGAUGGCACGGGGACGGGGGGAGUAGGAAAAGUGGCAUGAUGAGGAAAUGGAGGCACAGACUGAUUAGAAAACCAGCUCAAGGUCAUGUUGCUGCUCUCUCAUUCCUGUUGAGGGCUCUCUGGUGGAGCCUCUGUCUCACAGGUCACCUGCAGGCCAACACUCCCAGAAGCAGCUAGCACCAUGGUUGACCUCGUCCAGGUCCAGGGAAGGCCUCCCUCUCCAGGACUCCUUUAGAUUUCCCCAGCAUCCAGACCUCACCUGCCUAAGUGCUGUUGCCCUGGAAGCCACAGUGAGCACGAGCUCCAUCUUGCACCUUUACCAGCCAAUGGGGGUAAAGACAUUAGCUGGCCAUGUUCAAUCCCCUCAAGGGAAGCCUGAGACCACAGCUACUGCCUCGAAUCAGAAGCCCCAGCCUCAUCAUCUGGGGCCAGAGAACUAGGGCAGGAGGAGCCAAGUAGCACAGCAGGAAGCAUGAGUCCCUCCGAGGAGAAGCUGGUCUCUGAGAGGAGCACAGAAUGCAGCAGGCUGGAUAAGCCCCCUGCUGAAAUCAUGGGGUAAAAAAGAGACACAGGGGGAAUGGAGGAGCCAGAGAGAAAGCAGUGUGAUCACAGGCACACAGGACAGCAGCUCACCUUCCCAUCCUUGCUGGCUUUUGCACCCAACAGCCCAAAGCCUCCCCGCUGCAAAUUCUUUUUUUUUUUUUUUUUUGCCAGCCUCACUUCCUCUUGGGGAAGGCUGAGCUCUGGUAGAAGAAGAGAAUGAGAACUGCUGUAAAUACUUCUAAGGGGCCAGGCGUGGUGACUCAUGCUUGUAAUUCCAAGCACUUUGGGAGGCUGAGGCAGGUGGAUCACCUGAAGCCAGGAGUUCAAGAGCAGCCUGGCCAACAUGGCGAAACCCUGUCUCUACUAAAAAUACAAAAUUUAGCCAGGCAUGGUGGCGGGAGCCUGUAAUCUCAGCUCCUAGGGAGGCUGAGCCAGAAGAAUCGCUUAAACCUGGAAGCUGGAGGUUGCAGUGAGCCAAGAUCACACCACCACACUCCAGCCUGGGUGACAGAGCAAGACUCCAUCUCAAAAAGAAAAAAAAGAAAAAAAGGAAAUACUUCUAAGUUAUGUGAGAGAGUACAUACUGACAUUUUCAAUGGGUACAAUAA
rnacentral:lncRNA from 1 species